CAACUUUGAGCAAGUUCGUGAAUCUCACUAAGGCUCAGUUUCCUCCAUAAAAUUAAUCAAUAUCAGGGCCUCUGCAUUGGACAACUCCAGAGGGCACCAUUGGGGUUAUACCUUGUGUUUGCCUAACCUUCAUUGCAGUGGGCAGGUGCAUGCUUUCUACAAUGUCCUAAGGUCUAAAGGGGUAGAGUUCUGUGUGUGGCAUUUUAGGCCUGGAAAGGAUGAGAGUCUACAAAACCAGAGAAAUACUGCAGAGCUCCUAAAGUCCUUGGAAUGUCCUAAGUGGUGAGUUUAUGCUAAAGAGGUAACUUUUGGAAAACCUCUAAGGAUGGGGGGCUGGUUGCCAGGGGAGCCAACCAUGUGAUUAGAAGGUUGGAACUUUCACCACCCACCACCCUGACCUCCAGGGAAGGGAAAGUGGCUGGAAGUUGACUUAAUUUGCAAUGGGCAAUGAUUUCAUCAAUCACGUCUAUGUAAUGAAGCCUCCACAAGAAAAAAAUCUUAACAGAAGACCUUCAGAGAGCUUCCAGGUUGCUGACCACAUGGAGGUCAUGCCCAGAGAGGGUGUGAAAGCUCCACACCCCUUUUCCAUACCUUGCCCUACUUAUCUCUUCCAUCUGGCUGUUUCUAAGUUGCAUCCUUUAUAUUAAAGCAAUAAUGUUGUAAAUGAACUUUCUCUGAGUUCUGUGACCCAUUCUAGCAAAUGGUCAAACCCAGGAGGGAAUGGUAUGAACCUCUGGUUUACAGCCAUUGGUAAGAAGCACACAUGACAACCUGGACUUUCCAUCAACAUUUGAAGCGGGAGCAGUCUUGUGGGAUCAAGCUCUUAACCUGUGGGGUCUGCUACUAACUCUGUGCUUCACGUGACUUUUGAGUUAUAGCUGACUGCCCUAGCUCACAUUUUAGUGCCAGAAGAUCCCAGACCACCACCCAUGAUCCCAGGCUGGAGGAAGCAGCAGGCUAGCGGAAUUCAGGACCAAUGAGCCAGGAAAGAGGACCCAAUGCAGAGCUCACAUCCCACCCUCCUUCCCCCAUGACAAAGCACUGGCAAACCCUGCCAAAGAAGAAGCUUGGCUGCAAAGCAGUCUGGAACUGGACCCGGGAUAGAUUCACCAGGAGCUCACCACCACAGGGAAUGCUGCACUUUGACUGGACAGAAUGCAUCCUCCAUGCCCACAGAGCAUGUGCCCAGGAUGAAUCUCACUGUAUCCCAGUUCCUCAUGCUUGGCCCCAAACCUCUUUUUCACAGUAAUAAAGAAAACACACUUUACAAA
rnacentral:lncRNA from 1 species